rnacentral:rRNA from 1 species
UACGUAGGGGGCAAGCGUUGUCCGGAUUUAUUGGGCGUAAAGAGCGUGUAGGCGGCCAGGUAGGUCCGUUGUGAAAACUCGAGGCUCAACCUCGAGACGCCGAUGGAAACCAUCUGGCUAGAGUCCGGAAGAGGAGAGUGGAAUUCCCGGUGUAGCGGUGAAAUGACGCAGAUAUCGAGAGGAACACCGGUGGCGAAGGCGGCCAACUGGACAGAUACUGACGCUGAGACUCGAAAGCGUGGGGAGCAAACAGG